GUAGGGGNNGAGCGUUGUCCGGAUUUAUUGGGCGUAAAGAGCUCGUAGGCGGUUCGGCAAGUCGGAUGUGAAAUCUCCACGCUCAACGUGGAGGGGUCAUUCGAUACUGCCGUGACUCGAGUCCGGUAGGGGAGUGUGGAAUACCCGGUGGAGCGGUGAAAUGCGCAGAGAUCGGGUGGAACACCCGUAGCGAAGGCGGCACUCUGGGCCGGUACUGACGCUGAGGAGCGAAAGCGUGGGGAGCGAACAGGAUUAGAUACCCUGGUAGUCCACGCCGUAAACGUUGGGCACUAGGUGUGGGACUCUAUCGACGGGUUCCGUGCCGUAGCUAACGCAUUAAGUGCCCCGCCUGGGGAGUACGGCCGCAAGGCUA
rnacentral:rRNA from 1 species